AAAAACCACAACCACAAGGGCUGUUUCGUCGGUUUGUUGUAAAACAACAUUUGCUCCAGUCAUCUCACUGGAAAAUAGACUUUCUCUACUGGGCAGCCGCUGAGGAAUAUUACAGCAAAUGAGUCUUCUUUGGUGGUCCAGCCACACCAGCCCUUAUACUUCACAGCGUGAGUGCCACUAAAUCUGUGUUGCUGAGUCUGCUGUUUGCAUGCAGGAAUGUGAAGGACUGCUCAAGUUGGAGAUACAAAUUGAAGCCAGCCCCAGUUCAAAACUGUUACAAAUGGAGUCUGUAGGCAUGAGGGGCUGACUAUAUAACUCAGAGUUCUCCAGUACUUUACUUUAAUAAAGAACACAAUCUUUAUUAAAGGAUAAGUAAUAAAAAUGUGUUGAUGUGCAACUUAUGGAUCUAUUAUUAAAACUCAACAGUCAUUGCAGCAAUGUUUAGAACUUAAGCAAACAAAAGUUUUGUGAGGGGGCAAUUUUAUCAAUGACAUUGUUUAGAAAUGUUGGUAGAUGGUGAUCAUAAAAAGCAGAUCAAUGUUUUAUUUCACUUGGGUUUUUAAAAAUUAUUUUUAAAAAAUU
rnacentral:lncRNA from 10 species